rnacentral:rRNA from 1 species
ACUAAGCGUACACGGUGGAUGCCUAGGCAGUCAGAGGCGAUGAAGGGCGUGCUAAUCUGCGAAAAGCGUCGGUAAGGUGAUAUGAACCGUUAUAACCGGCGAUACCCGAAUGGGGAAACCCAGUGUGUUUCGACACACUAUCAUGUCAUGAAUACAUAGUGGCAUGAGGCGAACCGGGGGAACUGAAACAUCUAAGUACCCCGAGGAAAAGAAAUCAACCGAGAUUCCCCCAGUAGCGGCGAGCGAACGGGGAGGAGCCCAGAGCCUGAAUCAGUGUGUGUGUUAGUGGAAGCGUCUGGAAAGGCGCGCGAUACAGGGUGACAGCCCCGUACACAAAAAUGCACAUACUGUGAGCUCGAUGAGUAGGGCGGGACACGUGGUAUCCUGUCUGAAUAUGGGGGGACCAUCCUCCAAGGCUAAAUACUCCUGAUUGACCGAUAGUGAACCAGUACCGUGAGGGAAAGGCGAAAAGAACCCCGGCGAGGGGAGUGAAAAAGAACCUGAAACCGUGUACGUACAAGCAGUAGGAGCCUCUUUAUGGGGUGACUGCGUACCUUUUGUAUAAUGGGUCAGCGACUUAUAUUCUGUAGCGAGGUUAACCGUAUAGGGGAGCCGUAGGGAAACCGAGUCUUAACUGGGCGAAUGAGUUGCAGGGUAUAGACCCGAAACCCGGUGAUCUAUCCAUGGGCAGGUUGAAGGUUGGGUAACACUAACUGGAGGACCGAACCGACUAAUGUUGAAAAAUUAGCGGAUGACUUGUGGAUGGGGGUGAAAGGCCAAUCAAAC